rnacentral:rRNA from 1 species
AGGACGAACGCUGGCGGCGUGCCUAACACAUGCAAGUCGAACGGAGCACUUCGGUGCUUAGUGGCGAACGGGUGAGUAACGCGUGAGAAACCUGCCUUUCAGUGGGGGACAACAGUGGGAAACUACUGCUAAUACCGCAUAAUGUUAUUUGGGGGCAUCCCCGAAUAACCAAAGAUUUAUUGCUGAAAGAUGGCCUCGCGUCUGAUUAGCUAGUUGGUGGGGCAACGGCCCACCAAGGCGACGAUCAGUAGCCGGACUGAGAGGUUGACCGGCCACAUUGGGACUGAGAUACGGCCCAGACUCCUACGGGAGGCAGCAGUGGGGAAUAUUGGGCAAUGGGCGAAAGCCUGACCCAGCAACGCCGCGUGAAGGAAGAAGGCCUUCGGGUUGUAAACUUCUUUUACCAGGGACGAACACAAUGACGGUACCUGGAGAAAAAGCAACGGCUAACUACGUG